CCGACCGGCGCACGGGUGAGUAACACGUAUGGAACCUGCCCGCAGCAGGGGGAUAAGCGGAAGAAAUUCCGUCUAAUACCGCGUAACACCGCAGAGGGGCAUCCCUCGGCGGUUAAAGAUUCAUCGGCUGCGGAUGGCCAUGCGGCGCAUUAGCUAGUCGGCGGGGUAACGGCCCACCGAGGCGACGAUGCGUAGGGGUUCUGAGAGGAAGGUCCCCCACACUGGUACUGAGACACGGACCAGACUCCUACGGGAGGCAGCAG
rnacentral:rRNA from 1 species